CCUUAGGUAUCACUAACUCACCAAACAAUGCAAAAGAAAAAGGCAGAGGGGGGAUCCAUCAUCUUUCAAUGAUUACAUCCAUAGCAGUAGUAUUGGUGGAUUCAUUAAGUCAGUUUCUACUUAGCACUAGAAGAGGGUGCCAUACAACUCACAUAUUGCACUUAUUCUAUAGCCAAAACAGGGCCCCACCAGCCUAUCUGCACCAUUUUCUUUUGGAUACCAUGGUGAGCGGGUUUUUUUUUUUUUUUUUUUCUGACUUUGUAUAUCCCUAGAUGCUAGAACUAAAGGGUUGUAAUAAACCAACCAGAAAGAAAUCUUCUGCAGGGUCACUUUUAAAAUUACUAGCUUCAGUUGCCACUUGCAAAAUAGUCAUCGACAUCAACUGCUCACAGAAUAUUGACUCUCCUGCUUCUCCCUCAUCCCCAAAAGUCUGCAAGUAUAUGAAGCAGUGAGGAAUGAAGAGAUGCAAACAAGGAGAGAAGUGAUGGGAGCGUGUUGUUGUGUGUUUGUUGUUUUUUUUUCCAUUUGCCCGAGCAAAGCAGUGGUUGUAGAAGGAGAGGUCUUUCAUAGUUGUGAACUGCUUUGAGAUCAUUAGUCAAAUUGCAUUUUAUAUACAGAAAAUAUUAUGCUAACUGAGAAAAUGGGAGGAACAGGGAAUGUGCAUCUUUAUUCUAACCCAGCAAUUAAAAACCUGCCUCUCCGCUUAAGGAAUUUUUAGACUUUCGUUCACUGUGAUAUCCCAGUACCUGGAAGAGUGCUUUGAACAAAGCAGACAUUCAAUAAAUAUUUGCUGGGUGAAUAAAUCUUAUAUCAGAGAAUCUACAAUGCAUGCACCAGUCAAAAAUUUACCCCAGGAAUGGUCAUCACAGCACAGUUUGCUCCAGAUUCACCAGGGAGAUGAAUGAGAGUGUCUGUUAACAACUCUCUGUGCUCAAGUCUCUGGUGUUCUCUGAGCCAGGCACCCUCAGCUGGUAUCUUACAUAAGUGAACAAAUAGUAAUUGCUUAGAAAGGCUUGAGACUUUCUUCACUUCAAGGCAAGGAUUUCCGGUACAAAAAUAAAUUCAUUCACUCAAAAAA
rnacentral:lncRNA from 1 species